rnacentral:rRNA from 1 species
CUUGCUAGAUAUGAUUAGUGGCGGACGGGUGAGUAACAUUUAGGAAUCUGCCUAGUAUGGGGGAUAGCUCGGGGAAACUCGAAUUAAUACCGCAUACGACCUACGGGUGAAAGGGGGCGCAAGCUCUUGCUAUUAGAUGAGCCUAAAUCAAUUACUAGUUGGUGGGGUAAAGGCCCACCAAGGCGACAUCUGUAACUGGUCUGAGAGGAUGAUCAGUCCACCGGAACUGAACACGGUCCGGACUCCUACGGGAGGCAGCAGUGGGGAAUAUUGGACAAUGGGGGCAACCCUGAUCCAGCCAUGCCGCGUGUGUGAAGAAGGCCUUUUGGUUGUAAAGCACUUUAAGCAGGAGGAGAGGCUAAUGGUUAAUACCCAUUAAUUAACGUUACCUGCAAAUAAGCACCGGCUAACUCUGUGCCAGCAGCCGCGGUAAUACAGAGGGUGCGAGCGUUAAUCGGAAUUACUGGGCGUAAAGCGAGUGUAGGUGGCUCAUUAAGUCACAUGUGAAAUCCCCGGGCUUAACCUGGGAACUGCAUGUGAUACUGGUGGUGCUAGAAUAUGUGAGAGGGAAGUAGAAUUCCAGGUGUAGCGGUGAAAUGCGUAGAGAUCUGGAGGAAUACCGAUGGCGAAGGCAGCUUCCUGGCAUAAUAUUGACACUGAGAUUCGAAAGCGUGGGUAGCAAACAGGAUUAGAUACCCUGGUAGUCCACGCCGUAAACGAUGUCUACUAGCCGUUGGGGUCCUUGAGACUUUAGUGGCGCAGUUAACGCGAUAAGUAGACCGCCUGGGGAGUACGGCCGCAAGGUUAAAACUCAAAUGAAUUGACGGGGGCCCGCACAAGCGGUGGAGCAUGUGGUUUAAUUCGAUGCAACGCGAAGAACCUUACCUGGUCUUGACAUAGUGAGAAUCCUGCAGAGAUGCGGGAGUGCCUUCGGGAAUUCACAUACAGGUGCUGCAUGGCUGUCGUCAGCUCGUGUCGUGAGAUGUUGGGUUAAGUCCCGCAACGAGCGCAACCCUUUUCCUUAUUUGCCAGCGGGUUAAGCCGGGAACUUUAAGGAUACUGCCAGUGACAAACUGGAGGAAGGCGGGGACGACGUCAAGUCAUCAUGGCCCUUACGACCAGGGCUACACACGUGCUACAAUGGUAGGUACAGAGGGUUGCUACACAGCGAUGUGAUGNUAAUCUCAAAAAGCCUAUCGUAGUCCGGAUUGGAGUCUGCAACUCGACUCCAUGAAGUCGGAAUCGCUAGUAAUCGCAGAUCAGAAUGCUGCGGUGAAUACGUUCCCGGCGCCUUGUACACACCGCCCGUCACACCAUGGGAGUCUAUUGCACCAGAAGUAGGUAGCCUAACGCAAGAGGGCGCUACCACG